UACGUAGGGUGCGAGGGUUGUCCGGAAUUACUGGGCGUAAAGAGCUCGUAGGUGGUUUGUCGCGUUGUCCGUGAAAACUCACAACUCAAUUGUGGGCGUGCGGGCGAUACGGGCAGACUGGAGUACUGCAGGGGAGACUGGAAUUCCUGGUGUAGCGGUGGAAUGCGCAGAUAUCAGGAGGAACACCGGUGGCGAAGGCGGGUCUCUGGGCAGUAACUGACGCUGAGGAGCGAAAGCGUGGGGAGCGAACAGG
rnacentral:rRNA from 1 species